UACGGGGGGGGCAAGCGUUGUUCGGAAUUACUGGGCGUAAAGGGCUCGUAGGCGGCCAACUAAGUCAGACGUGAAAUCCCUCGGCUUAACCGGGGAACUGCGUCUGAUACUGGAUGGCUUGAAUCCGGGAGAGGGAUGCGGAAUUCCAGGUGUAGCGGUGAAAUGCGUAGAUAUCAGGAGGAACACCAAUGGCGAAGGCAGCUCGCUGGGACGGUACUGACGCUGAGACGCGAAAGCGUGGGGAGCAAACAGG
rnacentral:rRNA from 1 species